rnacentral:ribozyme from 1 species
AAGUCCAUGGAAGAAAGGCGCAAAAACAGGGGGUACUUGGAAAUAGAUGCAUUCAAAAAUAGAAGUCCAUGGAAGAAAGGCACAAAACCAGGGGGGGGAGUAAAUGGA